CUGUGGUGUGGAAAUCUCCCCCUGGAGCAGUGGAUGUUCAAGGUGAGGAAAUCCAGGAGGCAGGCAGGGCAGCUAGGAGGUGACAAAGGACUAAAUGACGGUGGUGGCAAAUGCAGGCACCAGAGAGGACCCACUGAGGAGGACACCAUAAGGUAGAACUGAGGUAGGAGAUAGGUCAGCCCCCGAGGCAAACAGCUGUAGUUGGUUCUCUGUGGACUGAUACUCCAAGACAAAAAACAGCAGGGCCAUGGAGGGAUCAGGCUGGGUCUUGCUCAGAGAGCAGAGACUGCUUAUUUCUUAUUCUCAAUGUUAGGAGACUUCCCCAACCAUAUAUGUGCAGAAAGGAGGUUAGAAAGGGAAGGGGCACCACCGCAUAGUAAGUGAUGCUAACUACCCACAGGCCUUUGCGGUAGAAUCCAUCCUGGCUAAGAGAGGCAUGUGCACACAUGGGAGGAUCCUGAGAUACACCAAGUUCGGACUCUGAAUCAGGCAAAGCUAGAUGAUUGGCCAGAGGAAACCCAGAAGACAUGCCCCAUAUAAGAGAUUUAAACUGCAAGAAGGGCACGAUUCUAAGUCUGCUCAUGUGUCUAUCUACACAUACGAGGCUUGUUUCACAACUUUCUGUCUUUGUGGGAAUUCUUUUCCACAAAGCCGCAGAGCCAGGGCCUUGUGACUAACCACUGGUCUAGUGGCUAGGAUUCAAGGCUUUUCCUCUGAGACCUGACCUCCAUCACUGGCCAGGAACUGAAGCCUUGCUUCAAGCUGUUGCAGGCUGAGGCCACUCAAGAUCAGAACCAGGAGGAGUAUUACUUUGCUAGGAAACUGUAACUAAAUGGUAGAAAUGUAUUGUCUCAUGGUUCUGGGGGCUUCAAGUCCAAGAUCAAGAUGUAGGCAGGGUUGGUUCCUUCGGAGCUGCAAGGAAGCCUUUGUUCCAUGCUUUCCUUCUAGCUUCUACUGGUCCACUGGCCAUCCUUGGUGAUCCUUGGCUUGCUGCACAUUGAUCUGUCAAUCUCUGCCUUCAUCUUCAUGUGGAGUUCUCUUUAUAUGUGUUUCUGUGUCCAAAUUUCCCCUUUUUAUAGGGAUGUGAGUCAUAUUGGAUUGGAGGCCCUCCUCCUCUAGUUAACCUCAUUGAAACUAAUUACAUCUUCAUGUGUGCAUGUGUGGGUGCUCAGCUGUGUCCAGUUCUUUGAGAUCCCAUGCAUUGUAGCUCACCAGGCUCUUCUGUUCAUGGGAUUUUUCCAGCAAGAAUACUGGAGUAGGUUGCCAUGCCCUCCUCCAAGGGAUCUUCUCGACACAGGAAUCGAACACACGUCUCCUGUGACUCCUGCAUCACAAGCAGACUCUUUACCUCUGAGGCACCGGGGAAGCCGUAAUUACAUCUUCAACAACUGUAUUUCCAAAUAAGUUCAUAUUCUCAGACACUGGAGAUUAGGUUUACAACAUGGGAAUCAUUUUGGCGGUGGGAGGCACAAUUUAACCUGUAACUGCAGAUAUAAAAAUUCUUGUGUGAACUGUGUCACGUGCAAGGACUUGGAGUUCAGGAAUUUCUGUUUCUCCAGUUCAGACAUAAACCAAAUGUUUGCUGUGAAAUCAACACACCAGUUCCUAAGCUUUGGGCAAUAUUGUAACUUAUACAAAGGAAUUCUGGAGAUGUUGACAAAACUGGAAAAACAGAUGUCUCUAGCCAACGUGAGAUCCAUGUGAGCCGAGCGGAAGCUUGGGAAAUUCAGGUGAACAAUACAUAAAUAACGGGUCUGGGUUGUUUUUUCACUUGCUGUCUACUUUCACUGCCUAAUUCACUCCUGAUGCUUUUGGCAGACUUAAUGCCCUGAGAUUUCACAAGUGAACAUUUACAGGAUGACGGAGAAGCAGAGAGAUGAUUUAAAACAACCGUAUACAUGCUCCUGACAAAUUACACUGGAUUUAAGUCUCCCCGCCUCCCCACCUCCCUUUCCUCCUUCCCUCUCUCCCUUCUUCCUUCCUUCCUCACACUGCUUCUUUUCUAUUUAUUCUUUUCUUUCUUUCUAGGAUCAAUUGACAGCUCCUGCCUUCACUUGUUAAUUGCUCUUUAGUGAUUUUGUUUGCAGCAAUUAACUGUAGGGCAGGUUUGGUAAUUCGUUCUGUAAUUAGAAGCACUUCUGAUUAGAAAGGUGUUUCCUUUUCCUGUAUUAGGAGCUGCUGCCUGCAUUCCCUUAAAAAGAAAAAAAAGCCUGUACUUGGCUGGUGGGGGCUAGAGGGGAGUCACCGGCUAAACACAAUUCACAGCAGAAAAGGGGCCUUCUGCUAAGGAAGGACAGCACCUUGCAUUCUGCUUCCAGAAUCCUCUUUUGCAGCUGUGAGCAGCUCUGACAAGCGUGGAGGGCUGCUCUCCCAGUUAAUAAGUCCCAGAUCUCGGGCGGGCCCCUCCUGCACCUUUCCAGUCUGCAAUCUGGAUAAUGUUAUCCAGGACAAUUCAAUGCCUGCCAGAAAGGGAUCGUCUCCCAAAAGGCCCUGCGGUCAGCCCAGUGUGGACUCAGAGGUUCAGAUUCAUGUGUGGGGUUCUUCCAGUUUGCCCAGAAGUACUCUGAACACCCCAAACAAGCAAACAUCUCAGCUCCAGAUCUGAGGAGGGGGUUGUCUUUGAAGUGGUUCAAUUAAGAUGGUGUGCACGUCCCCUAAGACCUGGAAAUGGGCAGGUGUGCAGAACUGACAAAGAGCAUCUGGAGGGAGGAAACAAACACAUCUAAAUUAUCAUCAGAUCUGAGCUGCCUCACAGAAGGGACUCAGGAACCCUUUGGAAUCCCUUUGGGAUGAUGGCUGCCUCAGAC